rnacentral:tmRNA from 1 species
GGGGACGAUAGGGUUCGACAGAAGUAUGCCGGUUUAAAUAGCAAGUAGAUGGCAAUCUAUAAAUGCAUUUUAAAUAUAACUGGAAACAGACAAUUACAAUUCGCUUAAUUAAUAGAUAGACAGCGAGCUCUUUUAUAUCUUUUGCUUACGAGGAUAUAUGAGGGUAAUACUUAGUAAGCUAUAUUAUUAUAGUUCCUAUAUAUAAUAAUGAAUUUUUAUAGGAUAGUUACUUAUGUGGUUGUUAAUUUCUUUGUAAGUAAUGAACAUUUAAAAUUAACUAAACUUGUAGAAGUUUAAAUUUAGGCUAUUUUUGGACAGGAGUUCAAUUCUCCUCGUCUCCACCA